AUGAACGCUGGCGGCGUGCCUCAUACAUGCAAGUCGAGCGAACGGACGAGAAGCUUGCUUCUCUGAUGUUAGCGGCGGACGGGUGAGUAACACGUGGAUAACCUACCUAUAAGACUGGGAUAACUUCGGGAAACCGGAGCUAAUACCGGAUAAUAUUUUGAGCCGCAUGGUUCAAAAGUGAAAGACGGUCUUGCUGUCACUUAUAGAUGGAUCCGCGCUGCAUUAGCUAGUUGGUAAGGUAACGGCUUACCAAGGCAACGAUGCAUAGCCGACCUGAGAGGGUGAUCGGCCACACUGGAACUGAGACACGGUCCAGACUCCUACGGGAGGCAGCAGUAGGGAAUCUUCCGCAAUGGGCGAAAGCCUGACGGAGCAACGCCGCGUGAGUGAUGAAGGUCUUCGGAUCGUAAAACUCUGUUAUUAGGGAAGAACAUAUGUGUAAGUAACUGUGCACAUCUUGACGGUACCUAAUCAGAAAGCCACGGCUAACUACGUG
rnacentral:rRNA from 1 species